rnacentral:rRNA from 1 species
GCAUGGGUUUUAUAUUAAAGAAAUUCGGUAUGAGAUGGGGAUGCGUUCCAUUAGUUUGUUGGGGGGGUAACGGCCCACCAAGACUACGAUGGAUAGGGGUUCUGAGAGGAAGGUCCCCCACAUUGGAACUGAGACACGGUCCAAACUCCUACGGGAGGCAGCAGUGAGGAAUAUUGGUCAAUGGACGCGAGUCUGAACCAGCCAAGUAGCGUGAAGGAUGACUGCCCUAUGGGUUGUAAACUUCUUUUAUAUGGGAAUAAAGUUGUCCACGUGUGGAUUUUUGUAUGUACCAUAUGAAUAAGGAUCGGCUAACUCCGUGCCAGCAGCCGCGGUAAUACGGAGGAUCCGAGCGUUAUCCGGAUUUAUUGGGUUUAAAGGGAGCGUAGGCGGAUUGUUAAGUCAGUUGUGAAAGUUUGCGGCUCAACCGUAAAAUUGCAGUUGAUACUGGCAGUCUUGAGUGCAGUAGAGGUGGGCGGAAUUCGUGGUGUAGCGGUGAAAUGCUUAGAUAUCACGAAGAACUCCGAUUGCGGAGGCAGCUCACUGGAGUGUAACUGACGCUGAUGCUCGAAAGUGUGGGUAUCAAACAGGAUUAGAUACCCUGGUAGUCCACACAGUAAACGAUGAAUACUCGCUGUUUGCGAUAUACAGUAAGCGGCC